rnacentral:rRNA from 1 species
AUGGGGGCGCUGGCGGCGUCGAUCGCGUCUCACGUGCCGUCGGGGAUGCUGAGCGCGGGGCUGGCGGCGCUGGCGGCGCUGCCGAACCCCGGCGAGCUGGUGCGCAAGGCGGCGCGGCUGGAGGACGAGCUGAGGGAGCUGCUCCGGCUGAACGGCCGUGGCGCCGGGGCGGGGGCGGAGCAGGGGGCCGGCAACGGGGCGCAGCAGACGCGGGAGCGGUUCCUGCGCGCGUACGAGCGGCUCAAGGAUGAGCUCCUCAACGACCGCGCCUUCAACUUCGACUUCACCGAGGAGACCAGGCAGUGGGUCGCCAAGAUGCUGGACUACAACGUGCCUGGAGGGAAGCUGAACCGGGGGCUGUCAGUGAUCGACAGCUACAUGCUGCUGCGGGAGGGCACCGAGGUGGACGAAGAGGACUUCUACCUCGCCUGCGUCCUCGGCUGGUGCAUCGAAUGGCUCCAGGCGUCUGCCCUGGUGAUGGAUGACAUCACGGACAACGCCUACACCAGGCGGGACAACCUCUGCUGGUACAAGCUGCCCACCGUUGGCCUGUCUGCGAUAAACGACGGCGUGCUGCUGAAAUGCCACGUCCAGGCCAUCAUCAAGCGCUACUUCAAGGAGAAGUUCUACUUCAUGGAACUCAUGGAGCUCUGGAACGAGAUUGGGUUGCAGACCGCCAUGGGGCAGAUGCUGGACCUCAUCACCACCCACACCGGCGCCAAGGAUCUCGCCAGAUACAGGAUCCAAGGGUACCGCCGCAUUGUCAAGUACAAGACAUCCUACUAUUCCUUCUACCUGCCGGUUGCCUGUGCAUUGCUCUUGAAUGGCGCGAAACUGAGCGACUACGUCGAGCUCAAAAAUGUACUGAUUGAGAUGGGAGUCUACUUUCAGAUACAGGACGACUACCUCGAUUGCUUCGGCGACCCUCAAGUUAUUGGCAAGGUUGGAACAGACAUAGAAGACUACAAGUGCUCCUGGCUAAUUGUCCAGGCUAUGGAACUGGCUAAUGAGAAUGAGAUGAAAAUACUAUAUGAAAACUAUGGCAAGUCUUGCCCGGAAUGUGUUGCAGCAGUGAAAAAUGUUUAUAAGGAGCUUGAUCUCCAGGACAUAUUCUUGGAGUACGAGUCAAGAGUUUACAAGCACCUAGUUUCAACCAUCGACGCCGAGCCAGACCGUGCGAUUCGGGAGAUUUUGAAGAUCUUUCUGAAGAAGAUUUAUAGGAGAAAGAAGUAG